UUGGCCAGGCAUCAAAGCUACGUGUUGUUCAUUUAAAACAUGAACAUCCUGAUCCCAGGGCUUUGAAGAUAGGAAUCACCCAUCCCAAACCAGACACACUGCCCAGAGUAGCUGAGAAAGAAGCCAAAGGUGGUGAAUGAUUAGCAGAACUGCCAGACAGCUCCAGAAUCUAGACACAGAGUACCAGGAAAGCUGUUUUGUGGGGGAAACUCAGACUGACCAAAAGAGCCUAGGAGGUCCUUUGUGGCCUGUCUACUCCAUGGAAAUAGUUCCAGGAGAGGGAAGACCAGCUGCCUUCAUCAGGAACUCACAGGUGGCAUUUCUAUGGGGAAUCAGCACAAGGGAAAAGGAGACAUUUCAUUUCCAAGUUAUGGUGGCAUCGCAAUUACACCACUAUUGCAUGGACUGAAGUGCAAGUGGAGGACAAGGGGU
rnacentral:lncRNA from 1 species